rnacentral:rRNA from 1 species
GACGAACCCGUCCUAACGUUAUUCGGAAUCACUGGGCUUAAAGGGCGCGUAGGCGGAUGAGCAAGUCCGGAGUGAAAUCUUUCGGCUUAACCGGAAAAGUGCUUUGGAUACUGCUCGUCUUGAGGGAGGUAGGGCAUGUGGAACUUCCAGUGGAGCGGUGAAAUGCGUUGAUAUUGGAAGGAACGCCGGUGGCGAAAGCGACCUGCUGGAUCUCUUCUGACGCUGAGGCGCGAAAGCUAGGGUAGCGAACGGGAUUAGAAACCCUGGUAGU